AAGCUUAUGAUGUAAUUAGUUGCAUGGUGGGUUUUCACUCCACUUGGUCUCAAGUUUA
rnacentral:tRNA from 1 species